GCACGUAGUUAGCCGGAACUUAUUCCUGGGGUACGUCAUCAUCUUCCCCCAGAAAAGGAUUUUACAACCCGAAGGCCUUCUUCAUCCACGCGGCGUUGCUGAGUCAGGCUUGCGCCCAUUGCUCAAUAUUCCUCA
rnacentral:rRNA from 1 species